rnacentral:rRNA from 1 species
UACAGAGGGUGCGAGCGUUAAUCGGAAUUACUGGGCGUAAAGCGUGCGUAGACGGUUAUCUAAGUCGGAUGUGAAAGCCCCGGACUCAACCUGGGAAUUGCAUUCGAGACUGCGUAGCUAGGGUGCGGAAGAGGGAAGCGGAAUUUCCGGUGUAGCGGUGAAAUGCGUAGAUAUCGGAAGGAACAUCAGUGGCGAAAGCGGCUUCCUGGUCCAGCACCGACGUUCAGGCACGAAAGCGUGGGGAGCAAACAGG